rnacentral:rRNA from 1 species
UACGGAGGGUCCAAGCGUUAUCCGGAUUUAUUGGGUUUAAAGGGUGCGCAAGCGGUUCGUUAAGUUAGAGGUGAAAUCCCGUGGCUCAACCACGGAACUGCCUCUGAUACUGGCGGGCUAGAGAGAGGUUGCUGUGGGCGGAAUGUGUGGUGUAGCGGUGAAAUGCUUAGAGAUCACACAGAACACCGAUUGCGAAGGCAGCUCACAAAGCCUCAUCUGACGCUCAUGCACGAAAGCGUGGGGAGCAAACAGGAUUAGAUACCCUGGUAGUCCACGCCGUAAACGAUGAUAACUCGAUGCCGGCGAUACACUGUCGGUGUCCAAGCGAAAGCGAUAAGUUAUCCACCUGGGGAGUACGUUCGCAAGAAUGAA